UUAAUUGAUUUUAUGUUCACUUGUACUUUACAGCUCUGUAUUUUUCAAUUGUAUCAGACCGAUUCAAAUUCCUGUUGAAAAUGAUGGGAUCUAAGUCCUGAAACAAUUUAAUUCCAGUCACCGAGAGGGGUGUGGUGACUGCCUGCUUUCUGGCUAUCAAGCUUCUCUUCUCUACAGCAUCUUCUCUGACUAGCCCCAUUUCUAUAUGAAUGCUCAGCACUUCUGCAUCCAGUUACAUGACAUUCAUGUGCACACAUUUGUGUUUCUAUCCCAUUCAUCUAUAAGCAGCCUGGGAGUAUUUGAAGAAUUGAGUAAUACAGGAAGUGACCAAUACAGGGCUGUGCAUACAUGGGUGUCCUACAAAUGGUGUUCUGCCAUGGACAUAUGGACAGGAAAAGCUCAGCUGCUGAAAGGCUGUGGAACUUGAGUAAGAGGUAGAGAUUUGGAAGCUGAAGGGGGAAAUGAUUUGGAAUGUGUAUAUAUCAGCAUUUUCACAUUCUAGACUUAGGGAUUUUUCUUCUGACUUUCAGAAGAAAAUGAAGAAUAGCAGAUGUUUCAUAGCUUCACUGCCAAGGUCUUCUAAGGCUAUAGGCCAGGAAGUACAGCAGUUGACCACAAGUGGAAAAGAGUCUAAGACCACACGUCCUUAGGAGCUCCAGAAGAAGAUCUAGGUCCACAUCAGACCUCAGGCCCAAGCCUUCGCUCUGGCUAUGCACUCCUGGGCUCCCGGAGUCAGAAGAGAUGGUUGCUCCUUAAAUGCUCAUAUUGCUUGGACAGUAACCCAGAGAAACUGAACUCGAAUGUUAGGAUGGGGAAAGGCCCUGCUGGGGGGCUUGUGGAAUAUUCCCAAUUUGCACUUGAGAGAAGGGCAUAUUAGUAACACCUCCAGGCAUAUACCCUCAGCAGCUGGCUGGCUGGCUUCUCUCGAAUACAUGCAUCAGCAUAUGCACACACACAACUUACGCCUGCAGUAGGCAGUUCCAGACCAGCGACGGCUUGGCAGGCAUUGCACCGACCUUCUUCCAAUCAGUCGAAAGCCCCGGUCACAGGAGAGCUCACAACGUGUGCCCAGGCUGCUGUGAUAAUUUCCUCCCCUCGGUGAGUAGCAUGUGGCUUCUCCAUCCUGGAUAUUUAAUGUAUAACACCAUCGGGGGACUGUAGCAAUAGAAGAAAGACAAGCUAGAAGUACAGUAAUCAAGACAGUGUGGUGUUGGUGAAAAGACAGACAAAUAGGUCAAUGAAAAAAAAUAGCCCAGAAGUAAACCCACACAGGUGUGUUGAAAUUAUUUUUGACAAAAGUGCAAAAACAAUUCAGUGGAAGAAAGCCUUCAGACAAAUGGUGCUGGAGCACUUGUACUUCCAUAUGCAAAAAAAAAA
rnacentral:lncRNA from 1 species